CCAAAUCCAUUCCCCUCUUUCCAUCGAAACCCUAACUGAGCCCUAAAACUCGCCCAUGGGAAAGUAGAAACGAAAGCAAUUCCCCUCUCCUGAAAUUCUCAUUGUGGGACGCGAACCGAUGAAAUAACAAAUGGAAGCAAACGAUUUGGCUUAAGAAAAAAUCGAUUUGGUGUCUGAGCAUCGCGAAGCGGCCUUGUGUUGUUUCCUCUCCUUUCCUCUCAGAUUCCGGGAUUCUUAAACAUAUAACACCUCCAUUAUCGUGAAACUCAUGAGGAGCUUUAUUAUGGUCAUUAUGAAAGGAAAUUGGCAGAAAGGCAUUUAGCUUUCUGUGAUAGAUUUCUAUAAUGACAUGCUAUUCAAUUUGAUUUUUUCAGAAACUUUCGGUAAAGUAAUUAUGCAUUGUGCUUCCAAACAUUAUCAUGGUGACUCAGGGAUGUUUUCGAGGCUCGGGAUUCUGAGGUCACGACUUGGGCUUUUAUGUAGAGUCUCAAGACUUCAAGGGAAAAUGAUACUAACGAAGGCAGAACUUGAAGACAUCUUAUUUUGCUUUAUUUUGUUUUUGUUUUCAUGUGUAUGUAUAAUUACUACAUGUUAUGAAUUUUAUUAAAAAAUUUCUAUAUUAUGUUGUUUGACAUAUGUCUUUAGUGUUGUCUCUUCUAAUGUUUAAUGAGUUUCCCUAUUACCUUUGUGCAA